UACGUAGGGUGCAAGCGUUAAUCGGAAUUACUGGGCGUAAAGCGUGCGCAGGCGGUUAUUCAAGUCAGAUGUGAAAUCCCCGGGCUCAACCUGGGAACUGCAUUUGUGACUGCAUAGCUAGAGUACGGUAGAGGGGGAUGGAAUUCCGCGUGUAGCAGUGAAAUGCGUAGAUAUGCGGAGGAACACCGAUGGCGAAGGCAAUCCCCUGGACCUGUACUGACGCUCAUGCACGAAAGCGUGGGGAGCAAACAGG
rnacentral:rRNA from 1 species